UUACGGUCACAUCACGUUGAAACACCGGUUCUCAUCCGAUCACCGAAGUUAAGCAACGUUGAGGCUCGUCAGUACCUAGAUGGGUGACCACUUGGAUGUGUGGGU